rnacentral:rRNA from 2 species
CCGUAGGUGAACCUGCGGUAGGAUCAUUG